AACGUAGGGGGCGAGCGUUGUCCGGAAUUAUUGGGCGUAAAGCGCGUGUAGGCGGAAUCUUAAGUCAGGUGUGAAAACUCGGGGCUCAACCCCGAGCCGGCAUCUGAAACUGGGUUUCUUGAGGACGGGAGAGGAAAGUGGAAUUCCUAGUGUAGCGGUGAAAUGCGUAGAUAUUAGGAGGAACACCAGUGGCGAAGGCGACUUUCUGGACCGUAACUGACGCUGAGACGCGAAAGCGUGGGGAGCAAACAGGAUUAGAUACCCUGGUAGUCCACGCCGUAAACGAUGGGUACUAGGUGUAGGAGGUAUCGACCCCUUCUGUGCCGCAGCUAACGCAUUAAGUACCCCGCCUGGGGAGUACGGCCGCAAGGUUGAA
rnacentral:rRNA from 1 species